UCCAAGAAUAUUAGUCAAUGCUCGUAAGAGUGAACUAGCUAACUGAAAUCAUAGAAUUUUUUUAAGUUCAUGAUGUCGUAAGGGAAAAUAAUGAUAAUACCUUACUAUGAGUGUCGUCCAAAUCUGGUGCCAGAAGACUCGGUAAGACCAGAGACGCAAACGUUAAUCAUCAUAAACAGGCGUAAAGGGUUUGUAGGCAGCUUUUAUAAGAUUAAAAAAAUUAAUUUAAUUGAAAGCUAGAAUCAAAAAGAGGUUAUAGUGUAUAACGCCUAGAGGAGGGCUGAUAUCCAUAGAUCCUAGGCAGAAUACUUAGGGCGAAGGCCACUCUCCACUAAUGAUUGACGCUGAGAAACGAAGGUUAGGGUAGGAAAUAGGAUUAGAUACCCCGGUACUCCUUUCUGUAAACGAUGAAUGGUAGUCAUUAGUUAAAUUAAAUAACUAGAGGCGAAGUUAACACAAUAACCAUUCCGCCUUGUGAGUACUACUGCAAAGUAGAAAACAAAAAAAUUAGUCGGUCUCGAAGCAAACGGAGUGAAGCAUGGUAUUUAAUUCGAUAAA
rnacentral:rRNA from 1 species